CCCGCGUAGGCGGUCUCUUAAGUCAGAUGUGAAAGCCCGGGGCUCAACCCCGGAAGUGCAUUUGAAACUAAGGGACUUGAGUAUGGGAGAGGGAAGUGGAAUUCCUGGUGUAGAGGUGAAAUUCGUAGAUAUCAGGAGGAACACCGGUGGCGAAGGCGACUUCCUGGACCAAUACUGACGCUGAGGCGCGAAGGCGUGGGGAGCAAACA
rnacentral:rRNA from 1 species